ensembl:lncRNA
CAAACGGGGGUCCCUCUGGUUCCCAGAUCCAGAACGUUAGAGUCAGGCUGUGCCAUGUGGGGGUGCUGGCGGUACAGGCACAUAGAUUUCAAGGACAGUCUCCAGGACACGCAGGAGGAGGAUGUAAAAAAAAAAAAAAAAAAAAAAAAAACUGACCGCUGACAGGCUGAGGGAGUUUGUUUUAGUGCUGAAUACCCCGGGGAACAAAAUCCUUUUGAAAGGAAAGCUAACUCGUUUCACGCUACCAAAGUGGAGAUUUGGUGAUGACUGACUAAUGGGACAAAGCAGCAAUGGCCAACUGCCUUCCGGAGCAGGAAAGCUAAGGACCAACACCUUGCUGCCUGGGGAACACAAGCUCAUCAGAGGUCCUUCAAGAUCCCGAGCUCCCCACCUCCUCCCAUCUCAAGACCCUCGAGCCUAACCUGGCCACCCAAAGUAACACCCAAGACAU